GGAAGCGGGGCCUCCAAGGCCGGGUGGUGCGUCCGCGGUACCAAGCCCUCAGCAACUGUGCGCUGGCCUUAUCUGUCUGUCCUCCCAACGUGGUUAAAGGAUGCGGGACCCUCACGGAGAAGCUGCAGAGGCCGCUGGGUCUGCCCUGGGGAAUGGCCAACCUCUGC